rnacentral:rRNA from 1 species
GUGGGGAAUUUUGGACAAUGGGGGCAACCCUGAUCCAGCCAUGCCGCGUGCGGGAAGAAGGCCUUCGGGUUGUAAACCGCUUUUGUCAGGGAAGAAAUCCUUUGGGUUAAUACCUCGGAGGGAUGACGGUACCUGAAGAAUAAGCACCGGCUAACUACGUGCCAGCAGCCGCGGUAAUACGUAGGGUGCGAGCGUUAAUCGGAAUUACUGGGCGUAAAGCGUGCGCAGGCGGUUUUGUAAGAUCGAUGUGAAAUCCCCGGGCUCAACCUGGGAACUGCAUUGGUGACUGCAAGGCUGGAGUGCGGCAGAGGGGGAUGGAAUUCCGCGUGUAGCAGUGAAAUGCGUAGAUAUGCGGAGGAACACCGAUGGCGAAGGCAAUCCCCUGGGCCUACACUGACGCUCAUGCACGAAAGCGUGGGGAGCAAACAGGAUUAGAUACCCCUGUAGUCC